UCCCUGGUAGUAUAUCGGUUAGUACACGCGCCUGUCAUUCCAAAAUUUCGCUGAGAAACGCGCGAAAGCUGGGUUCGACUCCCAGCCAGGGAG